rnacentral:sRNA from 1 species
CUUGUUCUCCUUGACACUCUCCUGCCUUUGAUCUUGUGUACUGUUCUCUCUUGAUUCUCCUACUACCUCUCAAGUUACUGUUUGUCUCACAUAUUCCCUCAGCCUUCUCAUUGUAGGGACAUCACAAAGCUAAGGGUUUUUUGGUGUAGUAAUGGACCCUCAAGUUAAGGAUGAGAAGGUUUGUGUGUACUACAGCUGGAAAGGUGUUAGGAACCAAGCAAGCAGCUCUAGGGGCCAGCUACUUUGUCUCACACACCACAUGGUAUGCCCCUUUCCUGGUCUUUCUGCUUCUAUCAUUCUUCAUUCUGGCUGGCUUAUUUGCUCACUUAUGGUUUACAAACUCUGGCUUACGAAUGACAUCAGUUUACCAUCAACCUGUUCUUCCUCAUGGCAUCUUUUCAGCUUCAACUAAUUGGCAUUUCUUUCCAUGCUUCUUUGCCUAGAGAGAGAAUCUGACCAACACAGUUGAUCACUUGUAGGUAGAUGACACUGGUUUCUGGUUGGCUCCUAUAUGGAUGGAUCAUUGGUGAGUCCAGUACCUACUCUGAAUCUAAUCAGCUUUUAUAUUGACUUAGGGAUGUGCCUAUGGCUUCCCCUUUGGCAGGGACUGUAAGCAGGGCAACUCCCUUUAGAGGGGCCUGUGGGAUGUCCAAAACAACAACAACACAACAAAUACCCCCCCAUCCAAACAAACAAAAAAAGUAUCUUUUAUUGUUAAAGAGGAAAUAGGAAAUUUAAAAAUAAAAGAAAUAGAGGGGGCUGUGGGAGAACAGGCAUUGCAGAAUACAUCUCUGCUUUCCUUCUGUAUUCUAAGCUUCAAUAUUUCAUGACUUUCUAAUCUACACUCAUUUCUCUUCAGAGGUUUUGCUUUGCAUCUUCUAGCUAACUGUGGAAUUAACAUAUCCACCUGGUUGUCUCUCUGUCACCUCAAAGUUAGCGAGUUUAAAAAUGAGGCCAGGCGCAGUGCCUUAUGCCGGUAAUCCUAACACUUUGGGAAGCCAAGGCGGGCGGAUCACUUGAGGUCAGGAGUUCAAGACCAGCCUGGCAAACAAGCUGUCCAGACCAAAACGAAGAAGACGUUAGCCAAACCCAAUAUAAGGAAUGUUGUGGUGGUGGAUGGUGUUCGCACUCCAUUUUUGCUGUCUGGCACUUCAUAUAAAGACCUGAUGCCACAUGAUUUGGCUAGAGCAGCGCUUACGGGUUUGUUGCAUCGGACCAGUGUCCCUAAGGAAGUAGUUGAUUAUAUCAUCUUUGGUACAGUUAUUCAGGAAGUGAAAACAAGCAAUGUGGCUAGAGAGGCUGCCCUUGGAGCUGGCUUCUCUGACAAGACUCCUGCUCACACUGUCACCAUGGCUUGUAUCUCUGCCAACCAAGCCAUGACCACAGGUGUUGGCUUGAUUGCUUCUGGCCAGUGUGAUGUGAUCGUGGCAGGUGGUGUUGAGUUGAUGUCCGAUGUCCCUAUUCGUCACUCAAGGAAAAUGAGAAAACUGAUGCUUGAUCUCAAUAAGGCCAAAUCUAUGGGCCAGCGACUGUCUUUAAUCUCUAAAUUCCGAUUUAAUUUCCUAGCACCUGAGCUCCCUGCGGUUUCUGAGUUCUCCACCAGUGAGACCAUGGGCCACUCUGCAGACCGACUGGCCGCUGCCUUUGCUGUUUCUCGGCUGGAACAGGAUGAAUAUGCACUGCGCUCUCACAGUCUAGCCAAGAAGGCACAGGAUGAAGGACUCCUUUCUGAUGUGGUACCCUUCAAAGUACCAGGAAAAGAUACAGUUACCAAAGAUAAUGGCAUCCGUCCUUCCUCACUGGAGCAGAUGGCCAAACUAAAACCUGCAUUCAUCAAGCCCUACGGCACAGUGACAGCUGCAAAUUCUUCUUUCUUGACUGAUGGCGCAUCUGCAAUGUUAAUCAUGGCGGAGGAAAAGGCUCUGGCCAUGGGUUAUAAGCCGAAGGCAUAUUUGAGGUAAAGUAAAUGUUCAAACAAAUCAUCUCUGAUUUCUUUAUUUUAUUACCAAAGCUCACCUCUCUAUUUUUUUACCUAGGGAUUUUAUGUAUGUGUCUCAGGAUCCAAAAGAUCAACUAUUACUUGGACCAACAUAUGCUACUCCAAAAGUUCUAGAAAAGGCAGGAUUGACCAUGAAUGAUAUUGAUGCUUUUGAAUUUCAUGAAGCUUUCUCGGGUCAGAUUUUGGCAAAUUUUAAAGCCAUGGAUUCUGAUUGGUUUGCAGAAAACUACAUGGGUAGAAAAACCAAGGUUGGAUUGCCUCCUUUGGAGAAGUUUAAUAACUGGGGUGGAUCUCUGUCCCUGGGACACCCAUUUGGAGCCACUGGCUGCAGGUUGGUCAUGGCUGCUGCCAACAGAUUACGGAAAGAAGGAGGCCAGUAUGGCUUAGUGGCUGCGUGUGCAGCUGGAGGGCAGGGCCAUGCUAUGAUAGUGGAAGCUUAUCCAAAGUAAUAGAUCCAGAAGAAGUGACCUGAAGUUUCUGUGCAACACUCACACUAGGCAAUGCCAUUUCAAUGCAUUACUAAAUGACAUUUGUAGUUCCUAGCUCCUCUUAGGAAAACAGUUCUUGUGGCCUUCUAUUAAAUACUUUGCACUUAAGCCUUGCCAGUGUUCUGAGCUUUUCAAUAAUCAGUUUACUGCUUUUUCAGGGAUUUCUAAGCCACCAGAAUCUCACAUGAGUUGUGUGGGUGGUUGUUUUUGGUCUCUGUUGUCACUAAAGACUAAAUGAGUGUUUGCAGUUGGGAAAGAGGUCAACUGAGAUUUGGAAAUCAUCUUUGUAAUAUUUGCAAAUUAUACUUGUUCUUAUCUGUGUCCUAAAGAUGUGUUCUCUAUAAAAUACAAACCAACGUGCCUAAUUAAUUAUGGAAAAAUAAUUCAGAAUCUAAACACCACUGAAAACUUAUAAAAAAUGUUUAGAUACAUAAAUAUGGUGGUCAACGUUAAUAAAGUGGAGAAAUAUUGG